UGUGCCAGCAGCCGCGGUGAUACGGAGGGGUGCAAGCGUUAAUCGGAAUUACUGGGCGUAAAGCGCACGCAGGCGGUUUGUUAAGUCAGAUGUGAAAUCCCCGGGCUCAACCUGGGAACUGCAUCUGAUACUGGCAAGCUUGAGUCUCGUAGAGGGGGGUAGAAUUCCAGGUGUAGCGGUGAAAUGCGUAGAGAUCUGGAGGAAUACCGGUGGCGAAGGCGGCCCCCUGGACGAAGACUGACGCUCAGGUGCGAAAGCGUGGGGAGCAAACAGGAUUAGAUACCCUGGUAGUCCACGCCGUAAACGAUGUCGACUUGGAGGUUGUGCCCUUGAGGCGUGGCUUCCGGAGCUAACGCGUUAAGUCGACCGCCUGGGGAGUACGGCCGCAAGGUUAAAACUCAAAUGAAUUGACGGGGGCCCGCACAAGCGGUGGAGCAUGUGGUUUAAUUCGAUGCAACGCGAAGAACCUUACCUGGUCUUGACAUCCACGGAAGUUUUCAGAGAUGAGAAUGUGCCUUCGGGAACCGUGAGACAGGUGCUGCAUGGCUGUCGUCAGCUCGUGUUGUGAAAUGUUGGGUUAAGUCCCGCAACGAGCGCAACCCUUAUCCUUUGUUGCCAGCGGUCCGGCCGGGAACUCAAAGGAGACUGCCAGUGAUAAAUUGGAGGAAGGUGGGGAUGACGUCAAGUCAUCAUGGCCCUUACGACCAGGGCUACACACGUGCUACAAUGGCGCAUACAAAGAGAAGCGACCUCGCGAGAGCAAGCGGACCUCAUAAAGUGCGUCGUAGUCCGGAUUGGAGUCUGCAACUCGACUCCAUGAAGUCGGAGUCGCUAGUAAUCGUGGAUCAGAAUGCCACGGUGAAUACGUUCCCGGGCCUUGUACACACCGCCCGUCACACCAUGGGAGUGGGUUGCAAAAGAAGUAGGUAGCUUAACCUUCGGGAGGGCGCUUACCACUUUGUGAUUCAUGACUGGGGUGAAGUCGUAACAAGGUAACCGAA
rnacentral:rRNA from 1 species